UUUCACCUGGCGAUUGGACCUACAUACUGCCGACUAAUUGGGCUUGUAGCGACAACUGCAUAAAAAAGUUUCCUGCCGGCGUAUGUGUGACCUACGACUAUCGCACCAGCCCAUGUGUGUAUCAACUUAAAAUGUUCGACAGUGAAUCAAACGGCGUUACAACUAACUACGUUCGAUGCACAACAUCAUUAACUAUACCUACGAUUACCACACGAAGUACACCAACUACAACUACUACCACAACAACUGCUACCACAACUACUCCAAUAAAGAAGGCAUGCAGGAAACAUGGACGAUAGUUAUUUUACAGAUG